UACGUAGGUGACCAGCGUUGUCCGGAUUUACUGGGCGUAAAGAGCGCGCAGGCGGUCGUUCAAGUCGCGUGUGAAAGCCCCCGGCUCAACUGGGGAGGGUCACGCGAUACUGAUCGACUCGAAGGCAGGAGAGGGUAGUGGAAUUCCCGGUGUAGUGGUGAAAUGCGCAGAUAUCAGGAGGAACACCGGUGACGAAGGCGGUUCUCUGGGCCUUACCUGACGCUGAGACACGAAAGCGUGGGGAGCAAACAGG
rnacentral:rRNA from 1 species